CGAAUCCGUGGCCCCCUUUCAACACAAGAUUGAUAUACAUCAUACACCUAUGUAAUAUAAAAAGAUAUAAAUAAAAAAUUUAAGAUCGAAAUCCAACAUCCAAAAUCCCUUCUUACUGCUACUUUCCAUUUUCUCUCUUUUGCUUUUCUCGGGAAAGUUCGGUUCUUACCAAGAAAAAUUUUUCCCCUGGAAUCAAACAACACCGAAGACCGAACCAACACUCUGAUGCGAAUCGCUUCAUUCUCACAUGGCUCUACUCUUAAUUUAGUCUCAUGACGAUCGUUGGUAUAUGCCGCCCUAUGUGUUCCCCUUGGGAUCAACCCAUGGAUCGCUGCCUCGGAUUCUUUCCAUGCCUCAUUGACCCUGCUCGGAGGUCUGCGCUGUGCGUGAAGUUGGUCUUGGUGACUGUCCAUUUGGUUUAUAUUGGCGUUCUCUUCUUAAUUGAUGGAGAUUUGAUAGAAAAGACUAAGAAGGAAUCGAUGUAUGUUUUUUUUUCCCACUUUUAAGUCACUGUAUUCUAUUUUUUGUAUCUUUUUUUUACCAUACUGAAGCUUCAACUCAGUGGAACAUUAAUGGGUUUAAUGGAACAUUAUUUGUACUUGACGAUUUAUUCAAUAGACCAUCUAAUGAAAUGAAAUAGAUUAAGAUA